rnacentral:rRNA from 1 species
GGAGGAUUCAAGCGUUAUCCGGAUUUAUUGGGUUUAAAGGGUGCGUAGGCGGCUUAUUAAGUCAGGGGUGAAAGACGGUGGCUCAACCAUCGCAGUGCCUUUGAUACUGAUGAGCUUGAAUACACUUGAGGUAGGCGGAAUGUGACAAGUAGCGGUGAAAUGCAUAGAUAUGUCACAGAACACCAAUUGCGAAGGCAGCUUACUAAAGUGUGAUUGACGCUGAGGCACGAAAGCGUGGGGAUCAAACAGGAUUAGAUACCCUGGUAGUCCACGCCCUAAACGAUGAAUACUCGAUGUUAGCGAUAUACAGUUAGCCUCUAAGCGAAAGCGUUAAGUAUUCCACCUGGGGAGUACGCCCGCAAGGGUG